rnacentral:rRNA from 1 species
UAAUCUGCCCGGUGAUAUACUAAACGGCCGCAGUACCUUGACUGUGCAAAGGUAGCAUAAUCAUUUGACUUUUAAAUGGAGCCUGGGAUGAAAGAAAGAACGUAGAUGAGUUGUCUCAUUAGCAUUACUUUAAAAUUAAUGUAUGAGUGAAAAUACUCAUAAUUUUAAAAAUAGACGAGAAGACCCUUAGAAUUUUAAAGAUAUGCACUAUUAAAAUGUAAGGAUUUUUGUUGGGGCAACAAUAUUUCACUGAAUAAGUAUAUAUCUAGAAAUAAUACGUCGAUUUAAUAAUUAUAGAAAAAUUACCUAAGGGAUAACAGCAUAAUUUUAGCAAUAAGUUUGUGACCUCGAUGUUGGACUAGGUACUAUUAAGGCUAAUCGUUUUAA